ACACUCCUGCGGGAGGCAGCAGUGGGGAAUAUUGCACAAUGGGCGCAAGCCUGAUGCAGCCAUGCCGCGUGUAUGAAGAAGGCCUUCGGGUUGUAAAGUACUUUCAGCGGGGAGGAAGGCGAUAAGGUUAAUAACCUUGUCGAUUGACGUUACCCGCAGAAGAAGCACCGGCUAACUCCGUGCCAGCAGCCGCGGUAAUACGGAGGGUGCAAGCGUUAAUCGGAAUUACUGGGCGUAAAGCGCACGCAGGCGGUCUGUCAAGUCGGAUGUGAAAUCCCCGGGCUCAACCUGGGAACUGCAUUCGAAACUGGCAGGCUAGAGUCUUGUAGAGGGGGGUAGAAUUCCAGGUGUAGCGGUGAAAUGCGUAGAGAUCUGGAGGAAUACCGGUGGCGAAGGCGGCCCCCUGGACAAAGACUGACGCUCAGGUGCGAAAGCGUGGGGAGCAAACAGGAUUAGAUACCCUAGCAGUCCCA
rnacentral:rRNA from 1 species